ensembl:miRNA MIR3161 microRNA 3161
CCUCGAGAGCUGAUAAGAACAGAGGCCCAGAUUGAAGUUGAAUAGUGCUGGGCCUUUGUUUUUACCAAGUUCCCUGG